UGACUAAUAGGCACAUAUCUGGACACUUGCUUUAUUUAAAAUUUUAUUAUUUAAAAACUUUAAAUUUUGUUGUUCGAUGAGAUUUUCAUUUUCACGAUUCCGAAAUUAACGCUCGGGCUCGGAGUUUUGUGUUCCGUAUCCAGUCACAUUGAGCGGAAAAUGGCGAAUUUAUCUUACGGGAAGCGCAUGAAAUCUCAAGUUUAUAGCUAGCACAGCAAGCGUUUAUGGUAACGCGAGAAAAUUCGGGAUGAGGUCAGUACUAUGACACAAAAGUUGAACAUAGUCUUAUAUAGGAAAAGAUCUCAGAUGUAUCUGACUGUAGAUAAACACUAUUGUUUACUUUUUUAUUAUAAUAUUUUCCAAAUCAUUAGUUGAUUAAAUGAAAAUUGAUAUUGAUUAAAUUCGUUAUUCAUUAUUGAGGUUCUAACUCUGCACCCAAAAUAAUCAUACAUAUGUAUAAUACUUGAGUUACAUGUAUACUUAGUUAUACUUAUUGCAUAUUUAGUGUAUUAUUUUACAUACAUACAUGUUAAUCCUACACAAUAUGUAUAGAAAUGUUCGCCGAAGUGUAC